rnacentral:rRNA from 1 species
AACGAACGCUGGCGGCAUGCCUAACACAUGCAAGUCGAACGAGACCUUCGGGUCUAGUGGCGCACGGGUGCGUAACGCGUGGGAACCUGCCCUUAGGUUCGGAAUAACUCCCCGAAAGGGGUGCUAAUACCGGAGAAUGUCUUCGGACCAAAGAUUUAUCGCCUUUGGAUGGGCCCGAGUUGGAUUAGCUAGUUGGUAGGGUAAAAGCCUACCAAGGCGACGAUCCAUAGCUGGUCUGAGAGGAUGAUCCGCCACACUGGGACUGAGACACGGCCCAGACUCCUACGGGAGGCAGCAGUGGGGAAUAUUGGACAAUGGGCGAAAGCCUGAUCCAGCAAUGACGCGUGAGUGAUGAAGGCCUUAGGGUUGUAAAGCUCUUUUACCCGGGAUGAUAAUGACAGUACCGGGAGAAUAAGCUCCGGCUAACUCCGUG